rnacentral:lncRNA from 1 species
AUGGGAAGUAAGACCAAGAUUGCAAAAUAUCCCUUAAGAACUAAAACUGGAUACAUUCUAAAAUCACAAAAUACUUGUGUCAGGAGUGAAAAAUUUUUGCAAAAGAAAAGAAUUGGUUCAGAAACUUCACUGCUAAAAGGUGAAAAGAAUAGUAUGACUUUUUCACCCACUAAGGAUUUAUGCAAACAGUCUGUAAACAAAGACAGUCUUCAUACCGAGAAAGAAAUUUCAUUUGCACCCCCUAAUAUACAGAAGGCUAGAAACACCAUGAAUGCAUUUGUAGUAGCUAAACAGAAGCCCUGCAGAAAGCACAUCACAGGUGAAAAUAGAAAGAGCAGUUUGGUGUGUCUAACAGAAGACCAACUACAACGAAUUUUGAUGACUGUAAACCAAGGAAGUAAAUCUAUUACCCUGACUGAGAAUGAAAAGGAGGAGGAAACAAGUCAGUAUAGUCUAAAUUUAAACAAUAUUCCUGAUCAGCCAAAGGAUGAGAACAUCAUGGGACUUCUCCAAAAAACUGAGACUGUUUCAUCUAUUCAGGAUGAAAGCAAAUCUGUUUUAAAUAAAAAUCAGGUGACAUCUAAUCAGUGUGAGCAGAAAAUUUCCACAGAGAAUGUAUGGAAACCAGCUGACAUAUUCAGUACUCUGGGAGAAAGAGAACGUGAUAGAAGUUUGUUAGAAGCAAAAAAAGCCCAGUGGAGGAAAGAGCUUGAUGAACAGGUUGCUUUAAAGAAGAAAGAAAAAGAAGCUUCUGAAAAAUGGAAUAAUCCAUGGAAAAAAUCUGAAAGUGAUAAAAUAGAAUGGGAAAAACUUCAAAUUCUGGAUCAUUCUAAGGAAGCAGUACUGCUGGCGCACCCUUUCAGUGCUGUGAAACAAGAACAGCAGAGAAAAUGGAUUGAAGAGUUGAACAAACAAAUAGAAGAUGACCGGCAAAAAAAAGCGGAGGAGAAAAUUAUAUCCUCAAUGGGUGAGGAACAUGACAGAUGGGCGAUGCAUUUUGAUUCCUUAAAGAACUAUCCUGGUUCUCAGUCUCGACUAUCCUCUCAGUCAAUGCAAAAACAACCAGAGUACUUCUGUGUCUCUCCGGACACUCAGGAGUUGGCUGAUAUCAGCAGUCUGUAUACACCUACAGUUGGAAGCCAGAUUGAACCUUCAGAGGAGGAACAUACAGUGAAACCUUUUAGAGAUACAGCUGUGGCAAACAUUCAGAAAACGAACUUUCUCCGUUCUAUGACUGCUCUUUUGGACCCAGCUCAGAUUGAGGAACGAGACAGGAGGCGACAAAAGCAGUUAGAACAUCAGAAAGCUAUCACUGCUCAAGUAGAAGAGAAGCGCAAGAAAAAGCAGCUCGAAGAAGAGCAGAGAAAGAAGGAGGAGCAAGAGGAGGAGCGCCGCUUAGCCCGGGAACGAGAACAGAUGCAGAGACAGUAUGAAGAAGACAUACUUAAGCAAAAACAAAAGGAAGAAAUGAUGACUCUGCAGACGAAUAAGCUGUUCCAGACGAUGCAGAGAGCGCAGGAGCUGGCCCAGAGACUGAAACAAGAGCAGAGAAUCCGAGAAUUGGCUCAGAAGGGACAUGACCCUUCUAGAUUGAUUCAAAAUCUAGGCAUUGAUAGAAUACAAGUGGAAUAUAAUGCCUCUACUAACAACACUGCAAACUCAAGACAUGGCUUGGAUAAAGUGAGCAGUAAAAUGGAUACAUGUAUCAACUCUACAGCCUCUCCCAGGAAGGACACUGCUGUGCAGACAGAUGACUUAAGUAUAGGAAUAUUUACCAAUACAGAAUCACGCUGUGGAUCAGUAUCAGAGAGGGAAAUUAUGAAUUGUUCAUCCCCUGAGAUUGCUGCAGAAUUUAAUGAACAGUUUAACACUAAGAAUAACAAUCAAGAACUAGUAAGUCCGAUUAAAGGAGCCAACUUAGAAAAAGAAAACAGCUGGUAUAAUGACCAGUGUAAUCAGACCACAAGAACAGAGAAGCAAACAAAACAUAUGAAGAAAUGUCCUAAAAGACCUGACUGGAACAUAAAUAAGCCGCUCAGAAGGUAUAUUCCAGCGUCAGAAAAGUACCCUAAACAACUUCAAAAGCUGAGAGAAGAAAAAAAGGUAAGAAGGCAGAUGGAACUGCUUCAUUUGAUUGAAAGAAGUAAUCCUGGACAAAUCUCUCAAAAUAGAGGCACUUCACCAGAAGUUCUUGAUUCAUCUCAAGAAACUGAGCCAAGUUUCAGGCGGCAGCUAGUCAGAAAGGAAGAAGAACCUCUGAGAACUAAUUGUUUUAGCAAGGAAAGGUCUCAGUCGCCACCAAUUCCGGCAGUGAAAAGCAGAACGCAACAAACUCAGACACUAAAAAAUAGUAAUUAUGAAAGAGAGAAUCUGAUCUCAGGACAUAGUCAAACAGAAUUAUCACCUGGGAUUUCUGAUCCAUUUCAUUUUAUUCCGUAUGUCCGAACCAACGAGGUCUAUUACCUGGAUCCAGAUGCACCACUGUCUAGGCCUGUAACCCAGGAUCCUCACUACAAAAAUGCACAUGCCUCAGACCAAGAACAAGAGCUGUUUGCCUCUGACCAUCUCAGGGACCCACUUCUUAAUCCUAACUUGGUGAAAAACAGGGAUCGACAACAAGCAAUCCUUAAGGGACUAUCAGAUCUGAGACAGGGCCUUCUCCAGAAGCAAAGGGAGUUGGAAACUAAUCUCAUGCCUUUAGCUGCAAAUCAAGAAGAGAAUUUUAGUUCUUCGUUUUAA